UACGGAGGGAGCAAGCGUUGCUCGGAAUUACUGGGCGUAAAGCGCGUGUAGGCGGUCUCGUGUGUCUGGCGUGAAAGCCACGGGCUCCCCCCGGGAAGUGCGUUGGAAACUGCGAGACUAGAGUUCCGGAGAGGAAGGUGGAAUUCCAGGUGUAGCGGUGAAAUGCGUAGAUAUCUGGAAGAACACCGGUGGCGAAGGCAGCCUUCUGGACGGUGACUGACGCUGAGACGCGAAAGCGUGGGGAGCAAACAGG
rnacentral:rRNA from 1 species